CCCUCCAUCUCCCCUCUCUCUCUCUCUCUCUCUCUCAACGUGUGCAGAGCGAGAGGCCAUUAUCUGAGCCACAGCGGGCACGUACGAUGGAAUGGAGGAGUGUGCAGUGAGCAGAAACAGAGAGGGCUGUGGGGGGGGGAGAGUCGCGAGCGGCGGCAGCCUAGGAAACAGCACAGUGCAGCAGAGCUCUUACCAAUGAGAGAACCUCUCUACCCACGCCCUUCGGCGCCGCUCGCUCUACGGCAUUUUCAUGUCGCUAUCUGUACAUGUAUACACGUGUGUGUGUGUGUGUGUUUGGUUCAUCCGCAAAAGCCAAGCGCUGGCAACUUCGGCGAUGACAGAGCCGCUCCGCUUUCGGGCGCGGGAGGCGAAUGAACGGGCUAACCAGCGAAUACACAAUCUCGACUUGCGGCGGCAUCAACGGGGAAAAAGGAGCUAAGAAAAGCCACGUAGUGUCUAUGCCUGUUGAUGCCUUCUGCAAACGGCCUCUGGUUUUCCACACGGAGGCUUCCGUCCAGUGUUCGGGCAUCUAGAUUCGACCGGGCCAAAGGAGAAGUCACCGAUAACGGUCCUUCCAUCUUCCAUUUUUCUGCCCCGUCCAGAACCACAGCGAACGUCCGUCCGUCCCUCGAUCGAAGCGAAAGGCUUUGAUCUAAUACCUGCGGCUGGUUACAGACUCUGUGGCAAGACUCCAAGCACAGGGAAAGAGAAACGGUCAGUAGAUUGAGGCGGGAGGCGGCUCGCUGGCGGUCCGCUGGCCCUUCCUCCAAGGUCCAAAGGAGACGACGGGUAGGUGGGAGGAUUUUCGACUGAAGGAAGCGGAUGUUCGCCUGAUAUACAACCACUCCUCGACGCUCCGUAACGACGGCUCCCUCGCCUACGCGGGGGGAAGAAAAUAAACGGAAGGACGACGGCGAUGCCAUUACAGCGAAGGUAAACGAGCGAGGGCGAUGCGGAGGGAACGGUGGAUGAUACUUCGGCAUCGGCAAGAAAAAGUAGCGGAAUGAGGAGAGGGGGAAUGGAAGAAGACACCGAGGAGAGGGAAGACAACAAGGGGGAGGACAUCGGAGGAGAAAAGCCAUUAUGUGGCGGAUUCUGCGAAGGGAGCGCCGAUAACGAUGAAGAAGAAGAAGAAGAAGAGGGCAUAAGCGGCGAGAGGAUCGGCAGGUUGCUGCCGAACGAAGACAGCUACCGAGUACCAAUAAUAAACCCGUCGCAGUUCGCUGAGGACGCGAGACUUCUGUCCUCUCCUGUCCAUCAGAGAAGGUCCUCUCGUUACCCCCCCCCCCCCCCCUCACCGUUGUUCUGCCUCGGUGUCAUUAUCAGCGUCAACGUUUGUCACGAUCGGCGGGUCUGUCCUCUCGCCCCCCUCGCCGGCUGACCGGCCUGACCGGCGACUCCUCUCUUCUCUGGAACAUCGCUGGAGUUUUGGGGCAGAUCUAACCAGGAGGAGCAGGAGGGGGGCGAAGGGGGGGGGGGGGGGGGGGGGGGGGGGUUGGAGCGAAACAUGGCCGUCUUCUCCCCAUGCCGAUCGCUGUCAGCUCCCGCUUGGUAGUUUUCUCUUCUAUCACUGAGCGGCCGCGCCGCGCCAUGGUCGGAUCAACUUAAGCAGCCUCACCCGGUUUCUUCGCGAUCGCUCAUUUUCUCUGGCUUUCUCAAUUUGCCUCUCGGUUUUAGUUUCCUGCGCCUUUUUCCGUUUCCAUUCCAACACUUUGUGACGCACCCUGCUCUCUGGCCCUCUAAAAUUGUACACUGGCCGCCUCUCUCUCUCUUACCACACGUAUUCGAAUACACACACACACACACACACACACACACACACACACACGCACAGAUGAGCGUCAAUCCCAAAGAGAAACACAGCGCAGCCUAAGCUGUCUAAGGGAAGGAGAGGAGAAGUAGAGCAUUAGGUCACAUGACCGAGGACUACCAAUGAGCGGCGGGGAGAACAGUGAGCGAGAGAGGUAGGAAACACAUGUGGCGAUGACGUAGCUGCACCGUCAUCGUCGUCAUCAAGCCUCGGCGUCAUUGCCGGCGUUGCCGGUGCCUCCACUGCUGGGUGGGCGGCGCGCACGUGUGUGUGUGUGUGUGUGUGUGUGUCAUCGCCUGCCCGCCCUCCACUAUCACCGACAAGGCGCACCGACGGACGCUCCGACACGCGCUCUCUCAUUCGCCCCGGCUCACUGGCGCUCGCUCCCCCCUCCUCCCCCCCCACCCCCCGGCUGCGAUGACACGGCAUUUCAUGGCUCCGGAGAGCCUCGACUUAACCCAUGAGUCGCUCGCUUUCCUUACGCUUAAAGAGAACUGCUGAGCACAAAACGGAGCAUUUUACGCGUCAAAAAGAUGCUGUCACCGGACAUUCGCCGCUUCCAAGAGACCUCGGGCAGACCAGGCAGUCAUCCCGCCUGAGUCUAAUCCAAACCGGUCUGUGAGUGGAUCACAACACGUGGCUGUGACGCCGUCACGACAUUUAAACGAACAUCAAGAGAAACACGAGCGAACAUGUGACUGCUACUGGAAGCAUGAUUUGCGCUGAUCAUAAACCUCAACACGUGAUGCAGGGGGCUAAACUACAGGCAGUAAAUACACUAUAUGAGCCACAAUUUACAGUAGUAGACUGAUAAAACAUUGAGCCAUCUCAAGUGAAACAUUGCUCGACGUCCCUGCUGUUUACCUCAGCUGUUUUGGCAGUUGGCCUGGAUAAUCUAGAUAAGCCACAAUGAUGCCAUUUGCCAAAGAGGGCCGUCCUGAAAUACCAACAAACGUGUCACUUCUCAUUCCGACAACGAGGGCGACGUGAUUCCAUCAGAGCUGGAAGGAAGACGCUCUGUAGCCACGUCCUGUUAUAAACUGUGUUCACAUCACGUAACACUGAGAACUGAAGAGAAAAACUCCUAUAACAGUCGUAGCAUCUUAACUUUUGAGAGAAAAUGGAAUGGAAAACAUGAACAAGGCACUUACGCAUGACAUAGAAAGCCUCGCACACCGAAACAAGCUUUUCAAAAUAUCACCAGCAGCACCAGUAGUCGGGAGGUCUGUUUUGCGUUGGAACGCGCCAACGGCGAUGGAGAACCACGGCGUUCUGUUUCAAAGGUACCGUGGGAGAAUUAUUUUGUACGACAGUUGAUGCGAUUUCACAAAUUCGGCGCUUUCGUCAGCCCUCAUUAGCGCCACCGCUUUGGGCCAUUUAAGGUGACAAUCUUUCUCUUACUGCCAUUAAAACAACUCCCAUGGGCGCCACAGUCAUGACACGAGGGUCCCCCCCCCCCCCCCCCCCCCACCUCUUCCUGUCAGCUGACUCCCCUGCUGCUCUCGCCUACCUCCAUAAACCCCCACCUCCUCCCCCCCCAAACCCGCAAUGCCCCGCAGUCCAACGGCAUCAAGGUCAUCUGAUCUGACACACUUUAUGACUCUCCUUCCCCCGUCUUUCAUUUUGCUCUCUGUCGUUUUUUCCUUUAACGCACGCUGGCUUGUUUCAGGGCAAAGACACUGAACCAAUGCACACACAGGCAGCAAAUGUAGAGGCGAUAUAUAUAUAUAUAUAUAUAUAUAUAUUUUCCUCUGUGCACACACGCAUGCUAGAAUGCAUACAGUAUUGGAUUGUUCACCGAGGGUCGCCGGGUUUGUUUGUGGGCGGGACCAGAGGCUGCAGGGCUGCACGGGGCACGUGAUACUUAACAGAGCAGAAGCAACACAAACUGUUUCUGCCUGGUCAAACAAAUAAAGACUAAUAUAACGCUGGAAACUCUUAUUAUCGUGAUUAGUUUGAUAUUAUUAACACCAAGUUUUGUAUUUUUGUGAGAGAAACUAGGCACAAAAUGUGUUUUGUUUGGAAAAUCCCUAACAUCAUGAAAGGGAUAUAAAUGAAUUUUGUAUUUCUGUAUCAAAUGAAAAAGAAAAAGAAAAAGGGUCCUUUCUACGAGUGUGUAGGUUCAUGCAGAGUGAAUAAAUACACAUCUAUGAACCGUCUCA